CAUUCAUGUGUCAAAUAAGAACUGCAAUGCUCACCAUGAGAGGUUAUUCAGCAUUUUGUGCAAUUUUGUUCGUGAUUAUUGUUGGGUUCCGAUUGUUACGAUUGCAAUAGUAAUCACGCUCGGUGUGCUGUUGACCUGGUGUUGCUGCAGGCGGUGUCGCCGUAAUCAGUGAGUGAUAAUCCAGUACGGAUUACCACAGAGCACCAUACUAGUGGCUCAGCAACAGAACACGAAUGUUAUGCACGCGGGGUACGACCAGCGAUGAAGACCGGGUCAAACGGAGAUGAACGAAAAGUGUGGAACAUUUCUUAAUUCUUUUAAACAUCCCUGUGAAUAUCGUUGCUUUAGACUUCUUAUGUGUUUCACUUUUGUUAUUUCUAAUGAUAUGUUGUUUUCAUUACCAUCUCACAAGUCAUUAGCACGUUUUCACCAAAAUUAUCUUCAUUCUAUGUUGGAUCUCUUUUUUAAAUGUAUCUUAAUUCAGUUUCCUAUUUAAUAUAUAUAUAUCAAUUUACCAGGGUGAAGAAUCAACGGGGUUUUCAGGGGUUUACACACGGGCUGGACAGAUUGUAAACACGACGUUUAAAACUUUUUUUGCAAAUAUCUCAAGUUAUUGAAAUACAUUUGCAAAAAUCUAUAGUGCUUAAAAGACAUUUUGUCUUGCAGUUUGAACCGAUAUCUUAAGGUAUAAGAAUAAAUCCUUGAAUACGUCUGAAAUCGGUGACAAAAUAAAACGUUGCGUGAAACAAAACCGUGUACAAUGAAUGCAGUAAAAUGGAUUUUUUAACAAGAACACUUGCUUAUUAUAUAAAGUAAUUCUGAUGUAGUUCACAUUGCCAUAAGCAGCAUACAAAUCUGUCUUUAAACACUGGUGGAAAUUCUUAAGAAAACUUGUUUUAAAAAGUUGUUUGAAAUAAAGCACCACUUACCGUCGUCUUAAAAUCCAGUAAAGUUAAAAGAUGGAACCCCGAAAGGUCACGUGAUCCUGCACCUUGUUUACGCCGAAAUAGAACGAUAUGAGUGUUCAUCAGGAUGUCCAAAGUACCAUAUUCGACCCUACGUAUAAACAUUUAAUCCGAUGCUCUUGAAGUUCAGCCGAUACAACUAACUAUUAAUUUAAUUAUCUGGAAAAAACACCCAACCAAACACAAGUUUCAUUACUGAGUGUACAUUAUUUGGUGGUUCCACAUAUCAUGACUAUUUGGCGGAUUUCUAGAUUGUUAAAAUGAUUUUAACUGUUAAGAUUUAUUUCAUAAUAAAAUACUUAUCAUAA